GGCUGGUCCAAAGGUAGUGAGUUAUCUCAAUUGAUUGUUCACAAUCAGUUACAGAUCAAACUCCUCCUGUUCUACUCUUUCCUCCCUUCUCACUAUUGUACUUGACUAGCCUUGA
rnacentral:Y_RNA from 1 species